UACAGAGGGUGCAAGCGUUAAUCGGAUUUACUGGGCGUAAAGCGUGCGCAGGCGGUUUUGUAAGACAGGCGUGAAAUCCCCGGGCUCAACCUGGGAACUGCAUUUGUGACUGCAAGGCUAGAGUACGGCAGAGGGGGAUGGAAUUCCGCGUGUAGCAGUGAAAUGCGUAGAUAUGCGGAGGAACACCAAUGGCGAAGGCAAUCCCCUGGGCCUGUACUGACGCUCAUGCACGAAAGCGUGGGGAGCAAACAGG
rnacentral:rRNA from 1 species